GUAUCUAAUCAGGAACAGGACACCUAAGACCUAAGUUGAACUUUGGCAAGGUUGUCCCAUGCAGAAGGUUUGAUUCCCAGGCUUCUUUUGUACAAGUCCCUUGUCUAUCCUCAUCUGUUCCGGUGUCUGGGAUCCCUACAACAUCUCAGAUGUCCAGGACGCUACUUCACAAUGGGGACCACAAGAGAACCAGCAGUUUGACUGAGAUGAUCAGCACCUUUUAGUUGCCUACUAUAUCUACAACUACAAGGCACUCUGCAAGAAGACUGGGAAUGGUGCACAAGAUAGUCAAUGGUCUCUUCGCUCUCCCUUGAAAAUUUCCCCACUGCACUACUUAUAGCUACUUGCGCCCUCUAUAUAGCAAACAAUGCCUAAUCGGUGCCUACUGGUCUCCCAUGAUCCUCUUUUUCUUAUAUUAAUUGAGAGCUGAUUUGAUGAGAUAACCACCUGUCAGUGACCUUGCAGGGUGGUCUAAUCCCCCUGGCCAAACUAGUACAGACGGGCUUUAACAAAUCACGAGCAGGAAGUACCAUGACAUGACCCUCCA
rnacentral:lncRNA from 1 species